rnacentral:rRNA from 1 species
AAUAUUGGACAAUGGGCGCAAGCCUGAUCCAGCCAUGCCGCGUGAGUGAUGAAGGCCUCAGGGUUGUACAGCUCUUUCACCGGUGAAGAUAAUGACGGUAGCCGGAGAAGAAGCCCCGGCUAACUUCGUGCCAGCAGCCGCGGUAAUACGAAGGGGGCUAGCGUUGUUCGGAAUUACUGGGCGUAAAGCGCACGUAGGCGGAUUGGUCAGUUAGGGGUGAAAUCCCAGGGGUCAACCCUGGAACUGUCUUUAAUACUGCCAAUCUUGAGUACGAGAGAGGUGAGUGGAAGUCCGAGUGUAGAGGUGAAAUUCGUAGAUAUUCGGAGGAACACCAGUGGCGAAGGCGGCUCACUGGCUAGAUACUGACGCUGAGGUGCGAAAGCGUGGGGAGCAAACAGG